rnacentral:rRNA from 1 species
GAUGAACGCUGGCGGCGUGCUUAACACAUGCAAGUCGAACGAAGCGAUGGAGAACGGAGAUUUCGGUUGAAGUUUUCUAUUGACUGAGUGGCGGACGGGUGAGUAACGCGUGGGUAACCUGCCCUAUACAGGGGGAUAACAGUUAGAAAUGACUGCUAAUACCGCAUAAGCGCACAGCUUCGCAUGAAGCGGUGUGAAAAACUGAGGUGGUAUAGGAUGGACCCGCGUUGGAUUAGCUAGUUGGUGAGGUAACGGCCCACCAAGGCGACGAUCCAUAGCCGGCCUGAGAGGGUGAACGGCCACAUUGGGACUGAGACACGGCCCAAACUCCUACGGGAGGCAGCAGUGGGGAAUAUUGCACAAUGGGGGAAACCCUGAUGCAGCGACGCCGCGUGAAGGAAGAAGUAUCUCGGUAUGUAAACUUCUAUCAGCAGGGAAGAAAGUGACGGUACCUGACUAAGAAGCCCCGGCUAAUUACGUGCCAGCAGCCGCGGUAAUACGUAAGGGGCAGGCGUUAUCCGGAUUUACUGGGUGUAAAGGGAGCGUAGACGGUUUGGCAAGUCUGAUGUGAAAGGCAUGGGCUCAACCUGUGGACUGCAUUGGAAACUGUCAGACUUGAGUGCCGGAGAGGCAAGCGGAAUUCCUAGUGUAGCGGUGAAAUGCGUAGAUAUUAGGAGGAACACCAGUGGCGAAGGCGG